AGACGUUUAGGAGGAGCGGCUGUCCUUUUUGACUUGCGUUGAGCAAUAGGCAAUUCCUCCUCUGGCUGCAAAAUAGGAGUAGUUUGCUGAACAUCAUCAUGAGCAUCAUCAGCAACAUCAUUAGCAUGGUCAUCAUGCUCAUCAACAGGCUCCACCUGCACACUUGUUUCAUCAUCAACAUGCUCCACCUGCAUGCGCAUACGCUACAACUCUUUUUCUGGAACAUGAUCUGAGGUUAAACUAUUAGUAAACAUCACAGAUUCAUUGAAUACAACAUUUCUCCUCAUA
rnacentral:lncRNA from 1 species